rnacentral:rRNA from 1 species
AGGUGAACCUGCGGAGGGAUCAUUACCGAGUUUACAACUCCCAAACCCAAUGUGAACGUUACCAAACUGUUGCCUCGGCGGGGUCACGCCCCGGGUGCGUCGCAGCCCCGGAACCAGGCGCCCGCCGGAGGAACCAACCAAACUCUUUCUGUAGUCCCCUCGCGGACGUAUUUCUUACAGCUCUGAGCAAAAAUUCAAAAUGAAUCAAAACUUUCAACAACGGAUCUCUUGGUUCUGGCAUCGAUGAAGAACGCAGCGAAAUGCGAUAAGUAAUGUGAAUUGCAGAAUUCAGUGAAUCAUCGAAUCUUUGAACGCACAUUGCGCCCGCCAGUAUUCUGGCGGGCAUGCCUGUCCGAGCGUCAUUUCAACCCUCGAACCCCUCCGGGGGAUCGGCGUUGGGGAUCGGGACCCCUCACACGGGUGCCGGCCCCGAAAUACAGUGGCGGUCUCGCCGCAGCCUCUCCUGCGCAGUAGUUUGCACAACUCGCACCGGGAGCGCGGCGCGUCCACGUCCGUAAAACACCCAACUUUCUGAAAUGUUGAACUCGGAUCAGGGAGAAUGACCGU